rnacentral:rRNA from 1 species
CUUCACUACCGUCAUCACCCUACAUGAUGUGCCUGAUCGCAUCAGACCUCAGGAGCUGAGCAAAGAGUGAGCCUGGUUUGUAUUUGGAUGGCAGACUGCCUGGGGACACUCGGUGUUGGGAGGC